rnacentral:lncRNA from 1 species
UGUCACGCCCCGAGACCGCUACCAAUUUGGUGCGGUUCGAGCGCGUCGAACAGACGCCGAACGGACAGAGUCUCCCCUGUCCGCCCAAGGCUAAGCAAACGAUCAUGUACAAGGAUUUACCCAGGAAUCAAAUCAUAAGUACACAAUCACAAGAGCACAACAAGUGCUAACAAGUAAGAGCAAGGCACAAGUAUAAAGAAUACAAGUAACGAUAAAGAGAGAAGGUCUAUCUAUUACAUUCAUUCAACCUCUUUAAUACAUCGAUUUACAUUUAAACUGCCAAAUACAACAUGAGUUUACAUUUCCAAAAUGAUUCCUCACACCCUAUACAUCAUCUACUCUCAAGUACAAAAGGAUACUCUAA